rnacentral:lncRNA from 1 species
UAUUUUUAGCCACAAGCUAAAAAUGGAAAAUUUAAGUCAACCAUUCCUUCCACCUAGCAUAGCCGACCAUGGGAAGGAGGAUUGACUGCUAUUUUUAGAUAAUUUUACCUGCCAUCUUCCACUAUAAAAAGGCCCCUUCACUUCCUCAGUUCUCAUCCCUCACUUCACACAUCAUUCUUCUUUUUCUUUCUUUCUUUCUU